GUAUAUUUUAGGUUUUAUCUAAAUAUCACUAGAGUAUGUAAUCCGGUAACGGUUAAAUUCGAAAUGGAAAACGCAUCUGUGGAGGGGUCACAGUAUGGAAAAAUAGAAAAAAAAUAAAUAAUCUUAAUAAAUGUCCAAAACUUUAUACUAUUAGGUACUAGGUACUUAAAAUAUCUUUUCACAUUUUUUUUUUUUUUUUCAUAAAAUUAAUAAUAUUUUACCUAAAAUUAUAAAACCUUUUUUUAAAAAUAAUUGUAAUAAUAUACAACUUAAGAAUAUUUAAGAAAUAUACCGUAAGCCACGUUAUAUAAUUAUUUAAAUUUUUUUUUCAAAAUGGUACAUCUUUAUUUUAUUAAGAUUUAUAUAAAUUAAACAUUCCGAAAAAAAAAAAUUAAUACAUUCCGAGAUAAAACGGUAGUGCGGCGAGACGAGUUAGUUAGUCCGAUCUCACUUACACGCCUGAAACUUUGCUCACCUUGUUUGCAAAAUGUAUUAGGUCAAAGCAAGAUUCAGGCGACAUGUGGAUCGUUCAAUU